UGUAGAUGGGAUGGACAAUCUCUUUUGCCAUCUAUCCUGGGAUGUUUUUUUCAUGAAAACUGUUAUUCGAGAAUGGUUUUCUGAGCCUUUAAUUUCAAGAAGAAAAAUUGAACCCUUUUGGCAUCUAUCUCAGAAGAUUUAGCAACCAACAUGGAUUCUGGGCGUCAAAUAAUCAUGGAUUCAAAGGUUGAAGAGGAAGAAAACAGGCAGAGGUUGCUUGCAUCGUCUCCUGGAUUGAUGCGUAGAAGAGGUGAAGGGAGGAUGAGCGAUUCUACGGGAUUAUAGACGCCAGACGCCACCUUGAAGACUCGUUGGUGCAAUGGACUAUUGAAUAGGGCUGCACGUGGGACAGUAGCAGUGGACUCUCUCAUGUACCUCAUCCAACGGUUGUAAUUACCUAAUGUAGAGAUUGGAUGGACAAUUAAGAGACCAUUACGUCAAAAAAAAAGACCAUUGAUAGAAAAAAAAUCUUACAUGGGUGGAUCUCUACCGUAAAAACACGGUCCCACCAGAUUAACGGCUCGUAAAAUCUAAUUAAUGUAGGAAUUUCUUGGAAGUCUAUAAUUAGUAUAGGUAUAUAUAGAGGUAUAGAUAGAUAGGUAGAUAGAUAGAUAGAUAGAUAGAUAAAGAUGGUGUUAACUUCAGAUAAGAUAUAAGGAGGCAUGGCUGGUAUGGUUGCUAAUAAGAACCCAAACAAUUGCCACCUGUAACACCUCUCCUGUGUAUAUUCUGUAGGCGUGAGCUUCAACAAUUUCGCUAAGAGUGCUAUCCCACCCAGAAAUUGCUCAAUUAUUUUGCCAUUCAAAUAGAGUGUUGAGGAGUAGAUGCGGGAACAAGGCGCAUGCAAGCUGAGGGCUGCAUAGAUGCCCAUCACGAUGGUGGAGAUCAGGUUGAUGUGCUAAGGGUUGGUGAAUCAUGGUGCCAAUUAAGGUUGUGCUGCAACUUGGCAACAGGCUUGUGGUCUGUAGUAGGGUGCCUUGUGUUGUAAUAUGGUCGUAUAUAUUUGACCUGGAGUUUACAUUGCCUUCUGUGCCUUGAUGUGACAAACAAUGGGGGAGUCUAUGCCGCAUAAGGUCGCGAGCAUCAUUGGUGUUAAGUUUUUGUGCAAUUAGUAUGUUAAUUAAGACUCCGCAUUAAAUCAAAGUGAUUGAGAUCUUGUUGUAUUCCAUCUAAUAGAUGUGCCUGCUAUUGCUAAAA